AGAGUUUGAUCCUGGCUCAGGAUGAACGCUAGCGGCAGGCUUAAUACAUGCAAGUCGUGGGGCAGCGGGGGUAGCAAUACCUGCCGGCGACCGGCAAACGGGUGAGGAACAUGUACGCAACCUUCCUUUAACUGGAGAAUAGCCCCUCGAAAGAGGGAUUAAUACUCCGUAAUAUAUUGAUAAGGCAUCUUGUUAAUAUAAUAGCUCCGGCGGUUAAAGAUGGGCGUGCACCUGAUUAGAUAGUUGGCGGGGUAAUGGCCCACCAAGUCUGCGAUCAGUAAUUGGUGUGAGAGCACGACCAGUCACACGGGCACUGAGACACGGGCCCGACUCCUACGGGAGGCAGCAGUAAGGAAUAUUGGUCAGUGGACGCAAGUCUGAACCAGCCAUGCCGCGUGGAGGAUUAAGGCCCUCUGGGUUGUAAACUCCUUUUAUCUGGGAAGAAAUGUCUGCAUUCUUGCGGACUUGACGGUACCAGAGGAAUAAGCACCGGCUAACUCCGUGCCAGCAGCCGCGGUAAUACGGAGGGUGCAAGCGUUAUCCGGAUUCACUGGGUUUAAAGGGUGCGUAGGCGGAUAGGUAAGUCAGUGGUGAAAUCUCCGAGCUUAACUCGGAAACUGCCGUUGAUACUAUUUGUCUUGAAUAUUGUGGAGGUAAGCGGAAUAUGUCAUGUAGCGGUGAAAUGCUUAGAUAUGACAUAGAACACCAAUUGCGAAGGCAGCUUACUACACAAUUAUUGACGCUGAGGCACGAAAGCGUGGGGAUCAAACAGGAUUAGAUACCCUGGUAGUCCACGCCCUAAACGAUGAUUACUCGACAUACGCGAUAUACUGUGUGUGUCUGAGCGAAAGCAUUAAGUAAUCCACCUGGGAAGUACGACCGCAAGAUUGAAACUCAAGGGAAUUGACGG
rnacentral:rRNA from 1 species